UACGUAGGGGGCAAGCGUUGUCCGGAUUUAUUGGGCGUAAAGAGCGUGUAGGCGGCCAGACAGGUCCGUUGUGAAAACUGGAGGCUCAACCUCCAGACGUCGAUGGAAACCGUCUGGCUAGAGUCCGGAAGAGGAGAGUGGAAUUCCUGGUGUAGCGGUGAAAGUGCGCAGAUAUCAGGAAGAACACCCGCGGCGAAAGCGGCUCUCUGGGACGGUACUGACGCUGAGACGCGAAAGCGUGGGGAGCGAACAGG
rnacentral:rRNA from 1 species